rnacentral:piRNA from 1 species
UGAAAACACUCCUCAUGGCCUUUUGUUGC